rnacentral:rRNA from 1 species
GUAACGCGUAGGAACGUGUCUAGAGGUGGGGGACAACCCUGGGAAACUGGGGCUAAUACCGCAUAUGGGCUGAGGCCCAAAGCCGUGAGGCGCCUUUGGAGCGGCCUGCGUCCGAUUAGCUAGUUGGUGGGGUAAAGGCCUACCAAGGCUCCGAUCGGUAGCUGGUCCGAGAGGACGAUCAGCCACACUGGGACUGAGACACGGCCCAGACUCCUACGGGAGGCAGCAGUGGGGAAUAUUGGACAAUGGGCGCAAGCCUGAUCCAGCAAUGCCGCGUGGGUGAAGAAGGUCUUCGGAUCGUAAAGCCCUUUCGACAGGGACGAUGAUGACGGUACCUGUAGAAGAAGCCCCGGCUAACUUCGUGCCAGCAGCCGCGGUAAUACGAAGGGGGCUAGCGUUGCUCGGAAUUACUGGGCGUAAAGGGCGCGUAGGCGGCUUAGUCAGUCAGGCGUGAAAUUCCUGGGCUUAACCUGGGGGCUGCGUUUGAGACGGCUAGGCUAGAGGAUAGGAGAGGGUCGUGGAAUUCCCAGUGUAGAGGUGAAAUUCGUAGAUAUUGGGAAGAACACCGGUGGCGAAGGCGGCGACCUGGCCUAUUACUGACGCUGAGGCG